AUUGAACGCUGGCGGCAUGCCUUACACAUGCAAGUCGAACGGCAGCACGGGGGCAACCCUGGUGGCGAGUGGCGGACGGGUGAGUAAUGCAUCGGAACGUGCCCUGAAGUGGGGGAUAACGCAGCGAAAGCUACGCUAAUACCGCAUAUUCUGUGAGCAGGAAAGCAGGGGAUCGCAAGACCUUGCGCUUUGGGAGCGGCCGAUGUCGGAUUAGCUAGUUGGUGGGUAAAGGCCUACCAAGGCGACGAUCCGUAGCGGGUCUGAGAGGAUGAUCCGCCACACUGGGACUGAGACACGGCCCAGACUCCUACGGGAGGCAGCAGUGGGGAAUUUUGGACAAUGGGCGAAAGCCUGAUCCAGCCAUGCCGCGUGAGUGAAGAAGGCUCGGUUGUAAG
rnacentral:rRNA from 1 species